rnacentral:rRNA from 1 species
AUUGAACGCUGGCGGCAGGCCUAACACUUGCAAGUCGAGCGGAUGAAGGGAGCUUGCUCCUGGAUUCAGCGGCGGACGGGUGAGUAAUGCCUAGGAAUCUGCCUGGUAGUGGGGGAUAACGUCCGGAAACGGGCGCUAAUACCGCAUACGUCCUGAGGGAGAAAGUGGGGGAUCUUCGGACCUCACGCUAUCAGAUGAGCCUAGGUCGGAUUAGCUAGUUGGUGGGGUAAAGGCCCACCAAGGCGACGAUCCGUAACUGGUCUGAGAGGAUGAUCAGUCACACUGGAACUGAGACACGGUCCAGACUCCUACGGGAGGCAGCAGUGGGGAAUAUUGGACAAUGGGCGAAAGCCUGAUCCAGCCAUGCCGCGUGUGUGAAGAAGGUCUUCGGAUUGUAAAGCACUUUAAGUUGGGAGGAAGGGCAGUAAGUUAAUACCUUGCUGUUUUGACGUUACCAACAGAAUAAGCACCGGCUAACUUCGUG